UACGGGGGGGGCAAGCGUUGUUCGGAAUUACUGGGCGUAAAGGGCGCGCAGGCGGCUCUGAAAGUCAGAUGUGAAAGCCCCGGGCUUAACCUGGGAAUUGCAUUUGAUACUCUGGAGCUUGAGUACGGGAGAGGAGAGUGGAAUUCCCAGUGUAGAGGUGAAAUUCGUAGAUAUUGGGAAGAACACCGGUGGCGAAGGCGGCUCUCUGGACCGUAACUGACGCUGAGGCGCGAAAGCGUGGGGAGCAAACAGG
rnacentral:rRNA from 1 species